UACGGAGGGUGCAAGCGUUAUCCGGAUUUACUGGGUUUAAAGGGUGCGUAGGUGGAUAAUUAAGUCAGUGGUGAAAUCUUCAGGCUUAACCUGGAAACUGCCAUUGAUACUAUUUGUCUUGAAUACUUUGGAGGUAAGCGGAAUAUGUCAUGUAGCGGUGAAAUGCUUAGAUAUGACAUAGAACACCAAUUGCGAAGGCAGCUUACUACACAGUAAUUGACACUGAGGCACGAAAGUGCGGGGAUCAAACAGG
rnacentral:rRNA from 1 species